UCCGUUUACGAUUAUACCUUUGAUCUAGGUCUGGCACCAUCUUGGAGAAGCAUAAAUUGUCAUUAAGCAUUGUGGAACAGAGGGGGAAGUUAACUCUUCCUGAGCAUGAUUAAAUAUGCAAGCAACUACCAAAAAUCAGCGCAGCAUCUUUAGGUCAGAAAGCACGAUGGGAGAGAGAGACGAGAGAAAGAAAAACUUCCAAAAAGGGAACCAUCACGGGUAACACGUUAAUUCUGAUUCUAAUUCUGCUGAAGAAUAAAAAGAAGAAUUGAAUAAAUAGAUUUAGACUCUGUUCUGUUUAAAUUUUUAAUAGGCACGCUCACAGGCAAGAAAAGCAUAUCGUCAAAGAGUUAAACAAGGCGAAGCUAAACAAGCCAAUGAUAUUCUCAUUCAGCAAGGCGUUAUUCCCACGACUCAUCUUCAACCUGAUCAGUCAUGCGGUAUCGAUCAGCAAGGCGUUUUUCCCACGACUCUUCUUCAACCUGAUGAGUCAUGCAGUAAUGAAGGAUACUUUACUCAGGAAUUAUGCAGUGAGGGCGCUCGUAAUGAAUUUGUACUAGAAAGAACGAAGGAAAGGCGGCGCUCCUCCCAGCAACAACGCCGUAACAAAGAAUUAGAACAGCCAACAAAAGUGCAAGCACAUAGAGAAGUGUGUUCCUUGGCGCAAAAGAAACGUCGUGCACGAGAGAAUAAAGAAAAAGAACAGCAGCCAAAAAGAGAACCAUCAAAGCUUGGCGAGAAAAGCAUGUCUUGAAAGAGGUAAACAGAGUCAGCAAAUAGAAGAAGACAGUGAUACUAUCAUUGAACACAAUGUUCAAACAGAAUGUGAACAAACACACAAACAAACGCGGUCCUC